AUAACACUGAGAAAUUGGUACUAAUUCCCCAUAACAUUCGAGAAGGCAUCUUCUUGGGUUAAAAACUCCGGUGGUUAAAGAUGGGCAUGCGUUGUAUUAGCUAGUUGGUGAGGUAACGGCUCACCAAGGCGACGAUACAUAGGGGGACUGAGAGGUUAACCCCCCACAUUGGUACUGAGACACGGACCAAACUCCUACGGGAGGCAGCAGUGAGGAAUAUUGGUCAAUGGACGCAAGUCUGAACCAGCCAUGCCGCGUGCAGGAAGACGGCUCUAUGAGUUGUAAACUGCUUUUGUACUAGGGUAAACGCUUCUACGUGUAGGAGCCUGAAAGUAUAGUACGAAUAAGGAUCGGCUAACUCCGUGCCAGCAGCCGCGGUAAUACGGAGGAUCCAAGCGUUAUCCGGAUUUAUUGGGUUUAAAGGGUGCGUAGGCGGUUUGAUAAGUUAGAGGUGAAAUACCGGGGCUCAACUCCGGAACUGCCUCUAAUACUGUUGAACUAGAGAGUAGUUGCGGUAGGCGGAAUGUAUGGUGUAGCGGUGAAAUGCUUAGAGAUCAUACAGAACACCGAUUGCGAAGGCAGCUUACCAAACUAUAUCUGACGUUGAGGCACGAAAGCGUGGGGAGCAAACAGGAUUAGAUACCCUGGUAGUCCACGCAGUAAACGAUGAUAACUCGUUGUCGGCGAUACACAGUCGGUGACU
rnacentral:rRNA from 1 species